CCUGAUUGAUCCUUCCAGUACUCAUGUGCUUGUCUCAAAGAUUAAGCCAUGCUUGGGUAAGUAUGAACAAAUUCAGACUGUGAAACUGCGAAUGGCUCAUUAAAUCAAUUAUAGUUUAUUUGAUGGUAUCUACUACUCGGAUAUCCGUAGUAAUUUUAGAGCUAAUACGUACAACAAACCCUGAAUUCUGGAUGGGAUGCAUUUAUUAGAUAAAAGGUCGAUGCGGGCUCUGCCCAUUGCUGUUAUGAUUUAUGAUAACUCAAUGGAUCGCACGGCCAUCGUGCCAGCAAUGCAUCAUUUAAAUUUCUGUCCAGUCAAGUUUCGAUGGUAGGAUAGUAGCCUACCAUGGUGGUGAUGGGUGAUGGAGAAUUAGGGUUUGAUUUUGGAGAGGGAGACUAAGAAAUGGCUGCCAUAUCCAAAGAAGGCAGCAGGCGUGCAAAUUACCCAAUCGUGACACGGGGAGGUAGUGACAAUAAAUAACAAUACUGGGCUCAAUUAGUCUGGUAAUUGGAAGGAGUACAAUCUAAAUCCCUUAACGAGAAUCUAUUAGAGGGAGAGUUUGGUGCCAGCAUCCACGGUAUUUCCCGCACCAAUAGCAUAUAUUUAAGUUGUUGCAGUUACAAAUCUCGAAGUUGGACUUUGGGAUUGGCUGUUCGGUCCACCUAUGGUGUGCAUUGGUCAUUUCGUUCCUUCUGUCGGCGAUGCACUCCUGCCCUGAACUAGUUGAGUUAUGCCUCCGGCGCUGUUACUUUGAAGAAAUUAGAGUUCUUAAUGCAAGCUUAUGCUCUGUAUACAUUAGCAUGGGAUAAUGUUACAGGAUUUCGGUCCUAUUACGUUAGCCUUUGGGAUCAGAGUAGUGAUUAACAGGGACAAUCGGGGGCAUUCAUAUUUCAUAGUCAGAGGUGAAAUUAUUGGAUAUAUGAAAUACGAACAACUACGAAAGAAUUUUCCAAGGAUGUUUUCAUUAAUCAAGAAUAAAAUUUGGGGGCUCGAAGGAGGUCAGAUACCGUCCUCAUCUCAAUCAUAAACGAUGCCAACCAGGGAUCGGCGGAUGUUGCCUUUUGGACUCCACUGGCACUUGAUGAAAAUUCAAACUUUUUGGGUUCCGGGAGGAGUAUGGUCGUAAUGCUAAAACUUAAAGGAAUUAACGGAAGGGCACCACCAGGAGUGGAGUCUGCGGCUUAAUUUGACUCAACACGGGGAAACUUACUAGGUCCAGACAUAGUAAGGAUUGACAGACUGAGAGCUCUUUCUUGAUUCUAUGGGUGGUGGUGCAUGGCCGUUCUUAGUUGGUAGAGCAAUUGGUCUUGUUAAUUCCGUUAACAAACGAGACCUCAGCCUGCUAAGUUGCUAUGCGGAGGUAUCCACUCGCGGUCCGCUUCAAACUCACCAAGGCACCAUGGCACAAAGGCACCAUGGCACCAAGGCACCGUGGCACCGUGGCGCCGUGGCACCGUGGCACCGACGCACCAAGGCACCAUGGCACCGUGGCACGUGGCAGCAUGGCACCGUGGCACCAUGGCACCAAGGCACCAUGGCACCAUGGCACCAUGGCACCAAGGCGUCGCGGCACCAAGGCACUAACGCACCGUGGCAAAAUCAAAAGAGCGUAAACCUACGUUCAAUCAUCCCAGUAUUUUUUCGACGUUCAUCCAUCUUCCCCACCGCUGCAUACUCAUUUUUCUACAUAUCCGCUCUAAUUUUUUAUU
rnacentral:rRNA from 1 species